CCUACGGGUGGCAGUAGUGAGGAAUAUUGGUCCAUGGGCGCGAGCCUGAACCAGCCAAGUCGCGUGAGGGAUGAAGGUUCUCUGGAUCGUAAACCUCUUUUAUAAGGGAGUAAAGUGUGGGACGUGUCCUCUUUUUUAUGUACCUUAUGAAUAAGGAUCGGCAAACUCCGUGCCAGCAGCCGCGGUAAUACGGAGGAUCCGAGCGUUGUCCGGAUUUCUUGGGUUUAAAGGGUGGACAGACGGAAUGUCAAGUCAGCGGUAAAAUUUUGGGGCCCAACCCCGGCGUGCAGUUGAAACUGGCGUUCUUGAGUGAGCGAGAAGUAGGCGGAAUUCGUGGUGUAGCGGUGAAAUGCAUAGAUAUCACGCAGAACUCCGAUGGCGAAGGCAGCAUACCGGCGCUCAACUGACGCUCAUGCACGAAAGCGUGGGUAUCGAACAGGAUUAGAUACCCGUGUAGUC
rnacentral:rRNA from 1 species